AAAAGAGCUGCUCAGCACCUCCUUCUAGUUAGAGCAAUGAAACAGCCCGUGGAGCCCCCGCAACCCAGCAUAAUGGAAUGACCCGUGCACCACUAACGGUGGAAUAGCCGGGCUUCUACGCCGACCCCCCACCAAGCCACAGACAAGAGCAGAGCUCCGCGCAGCGCCCCCCUCCCGCGCUGCUCCUGAAGCAUGAUGGCCAGUGUCUGCACAUCAGCCUGUCCACUGGGAGACAGCAACUCAGCUCCAAACAUACCCUCCGCCUCCUCCUCAUCUGAGCCAUCCAGCUCCCCAGGGAAUGGAGGUGGCAUGGACCCCGCAGGGGCAGACCGCUCCCACUCCUAUCUCUGUGUGGAGACAGAGAGAUGCCAGGUGGACAAGGGCCGAGUUCUCACCAGGCAGCAGGACAUCCACGUGAAGAGCCAUCGAGGCAAGUGGGGAUGACGGAAGAAGAAGAGAAGACAGUGUGGGUCCAGGAGACCUUGCUUCUCAACUCAGUCCCCUCCCAGAGCCCUGCACGUUGGGCUCCACCUCCUACUGCUGCCCUCCCAAGCCCUGCUCAGUCCAGGCCCCAGAAGUGGCUGCUGACCUUAGAGGGCUCAUCUUUGACCCCUGACCAGCGACCCCUCUUGCUUGCCCGGC